CCAGAAGCCGCCUGGAUGCAGAAUCAGUGACACCUAUUAUUGCAGAUAUCUCUGACCUGCCUGUGAUAUCCGCCUACACAAAGAAGUCUUGAAAUCGGUAUCUGAAGUUCAGCAUUACGCCAGCUCUACCAAGGUCACGAAAAAAAUGAUACUUAAUAACAAAGAUACAGUUUACAAGUGAUUCUGGACAAACACAAGAAACGGCUAUCUGCAGUAUGCUGUACUUUAAGAUGCUCAGAGGGAGUUCAUAAUUACACAUUUACUAAAGGUGGACGUCAUACAGAUCAACAGCUUUUGAAAACAAUCUUGUGUUUGGAACAUGGAAAAUAUGCAAACCAGCCCAAAAGACUUCAAUUGCUUUCCUAGAAAUAAAUAUUCACAUUUGAAAUACA